rnacentral:tRNA from 1 species
UAGUUCAGUUGGUUAGAAUACCGGCCUGUCACGCCGGGGGUCGCGGGUUCGAGCCCC